ACACGCAAAACUUUAUAUUUUCCCACUUGAAUUCUCAAAUUAUAUAUUUGAUAACUAAUAAACAUAUUUGGCCAUUAACAAUGACAGAGGUAAUAUGUACAAAGUAUGUGAUUUUGACUAAAAAAAUCUAUUAAAAAAAAAUACAAAGAACAAGAAAGAAAAUAAGCCCAUGUUCCCAAAUCAUUAAACCCAUAUUCUCCUCACCGCAUCAUCUUCUCCGAACAAAGUCACCGGUUGUUUCAAAAAUCUAAGGCGGCGAAUCACCUCCUAUCGCGGAAGGUUUAAAUCGUCGAUUUUUUGCUCGUCGGCUAGUGCUUUGGAAGAAAAAGAAGAAGAUGAUGAUGAAUCCUGCUCGAGGGAUUGGAUGUUGGUUUUGGAGUUUUGACAAAAUGGUUGCACCAGUCAAGCAUCAGCUAAACCAAUAUGACCAAAAAAUCCACAAAUCGUCGAAAAUACUAGUCAAUGCACAAACUCGAUUGCAAGCAAACUACAAUAAAGAGUCCAAUCCCUCAAACGGAAAACCAGCAAUAACGAAUAGCAAAAGUAUCAGCGGCGAGUAACAUAGCCCCGGCCUAUGAACAACAACAGUGUAUGGUUGCCGAAAAAUUUGUAAAAUCGGCUAGAUCUAAAGAUUUUCGGUGAGCAGCAAAAAAACCAAUUUUGUUGGAAGUACAAAAACCAAUUACGGAUGUACAUGGAUGAUUUUGGUGUGUCUAUUUAUAAAAAAGAGGGGAAGCCCCAAUCAUUUGGAGUUUGUUUUCGCACUCUUUGAUGUGUAAUAAUUUCUUUGGUUGGAUUUAUAUAUUUGUGUA
rnacentral:lncRNA from 1 species